CAAUGUUUGAACACGGGUGAAUAUGAUUUACAAAGCUUUAGAUAUACAUAUUAUUUUGGUAAAAUAUAUAGGAUACUGUAGAGCCGAGAAAAAAUCCAAAUUCAAAAAACCAAACCGAAUCUGAUCCAAAAAAAUAUACCGAACCAUAGCUGGUUAAAUAUUUAUAUGGGCUUAAAAUUUUGGUAUCUAGAAAAUCGGAACCAGCCCGGUUCGACCAUAUAUAUUUCGAGUAUCCAAAUAUAUCCAAAUCAGAUUUAUAUACUUAAAUAUAUUAGUUAUUUUUUAGAUUUAAUAUCCAACAAAUAUAUAAGAUAUAUAAGAUAUUUUGAAACUGUCCAAAAUACUUAAAAAUAAAUACAAAUAGUCAAAAAUAAAUAUUUAAAAUAACUAUGGAUUCUCCAUCCAAAUAUUCAUGCUAACCCAAUUUUUUAUAUUAUUGAUAAAUUGGCAUAUAUUAUUCAAAAUUUAUAUGUUAUAUAUUAUAAGUUAAAAUAUUGCUAAAAUAAUUAAUAAAUUUAAAAUAUGCUAUGUUGAUAAGGUUAGAAAUAACUUAUCAAUCUGUGACAUAAAUAAAGAAGAACUAGAGAGAAAAAGAUAGAGAUGAGAAAAAUUAGGGAUUAAAACAGGUGAAAAACAUUCGAAUACAAUUUUUUUUUAUCAUUUGAAGAUCAAACAAGUAAUAAAAGGAGAAUAAGAGCUUCAGAUAUACUGUCAACGUAGGACUAAAAAUCAGCCAAUAAGAUUCUUUCUUUUGGCCAUGUCAAAGACCAUUUUCGUGUUGGGCUUCUAAUAAUUUUUUGAUCUGUUAACUUGAAUUUGUUUGGCCCGUUUAGCCCAAUGAGAGGGAAAACCCUAGAAAUGUGAGACGAUGAACUCCGGAUCCUUUUGUGUGUUGUUCUUCGUCGUUUCCAAUUCUCUAACGGAUUGUCGAUCAAACGACACACGAUUCAUCUCUGUGUAAUCAAGCCUCCAUUUAUGGCUUCCUUUCACCUUUUUCCCUCUGAAUUUCUUUAUAACCAUUUUUUCUCCAGAUCCAUUUAUCACAAAAUUUUCUAUCUCUUCACCAUUAUCUGGUUCCAAUCAAAAUCGAGAGAUUCCUCUUAAGAAGCCGAAUCCGCGAUGAAACCCUAUGGAAAAUCCCCACCGAUCAAACAUACCGGCAAAACCGGUGUCUCCUCCACCAAAGCUGUCUCCGGCGAUCCUACGUCGAAGAAACCAAACGGCAAGGUGGUUCUCCACUCCGACUCCUCCGCCAAAACCUGUGUCUCCUCCGCCAGAUCUGUCUCCGGCGAUCCUAUCUCAAAGAAACUAAACGGCAAGGCCGUUGUCUCCUCCCCCAGAGCUGAUGAAGUGGUGUUCUUCAGAGAUGUCGAAUUUGGACCACAAGAAGGCGAGUUAACGGAUACAGAGACAAAACUAGCAGAGAGAAGGGUCGUCCUCUAACCCCACCGACACCGCCAGGCACGCUCCAGAACCACCGGAUCUGAUAACGGAGACAAACUCAACUGAACUCCACCCUUGCUGGUGAAGAGGGUACAGAGAUGAACAAUGAGAUGGAGAAGAGGAGUAGUGGAAAAGAGAGAUAUCUAGCUUCGAGUUCUUUAUGAAUGGAACAGCUAAUGAAAACCAAUGUGGUUGCGUUUGGGGUAUUGCCUCUAGAAAUCUUAACUGGCCACUGAGCUAUUGAUACAUCUAUACGGUAAAGCAAUGUGAUUUUGGGUAAUAGAAUCAAAUAGUCGGAAAACUUGAAAUGCAUAUUUUGCAAUAGUUUUCUUUUUGAAAUGGUCUCUUAUUGGUUUGCUAAUAUGGUGUUUUCAUUUUUUCUCAGAAACUAUAUAUGUUUGUAAGUACUAUAUAUCAUCUCAUAGAGUCUAAAAAGAUGACUGGAAAUUUGUAUAUAUGAGUCUGUGCAUCUGGAACUUCAUUACUCUGCUUCAUGGUUCAGAUACAGUGAAAGUGGAGCUUAAUAGAUUAUACAACGACAAUCUAUAGUUGUUUAUGUGUCGAUUUGAUUUUAAUUUUCUUGCUUUUUGUUGUUGUUGGUAUUGGCUUGAUUUUUAGUUUUUUCGCCCCAUUGUGAUGCAUAUAUUGAUUUGAGAGUUUGGGAAACCACACACUGAACUCAAAUCGUUAAAGUUUGUCUGAGAGACAUAGAGAGAAAGAUCUUGAAAAGGUUUGUUGUUAUUUGUGUUGUCUGUUUUUCUGUUUUGUGUUUGUGUUCAUUAAAGGAAGUUCAGUUUCAUAUGUCAGUUUAUUUCUUCCGUUCACCCAAAAUUUUAAGUUUUUAACUUUUUGUUAGUUAAAAAAAGCCAAUUAUCAUGAAAGUGUUCAGGUGUAUUUAUGUCGUCAGUAUUAUGCAUUAGCGUUCAGAACUUUUACUGCCACUUAGUUUAUGGAUCAGUUAUUUCGUUCAUAAUUUUACUGCCACUUAGUUUUGGAUCAAUUAUUACAUCAUGUGUUCUUCACUUUUAUGUUUUAAUUUGUCAAAGCUUUGUAGACAGCACCUUUUGUUUAUACAUAAGAGCUGUGUUGCGGAAUCUAUAAAUCAAGAAAAUCAAUGAGGAGAGGGCAUCAAUGGUUGCUCAGUUUGCUACGAAAUCCACCUUAAGAAAGAUCCUUGCUGCAGAAAAAGAUGAUGAUGACAUGCCUCCAAUUGAAGCUAUAUUUGCUCCAUUAGAAUCUGAGCUUAAGCUUCCACGAAAAGAGGCAUUUUACACGGCAUUUAUAAGGUUGAUUGAUUGCUCUCUACCUUCAUAUAGGGUUUCUAAAAAUUGAUGAAGCCAUCAACUGCUUUGUUUCUUCGUAGAUGGGGAAGUUCAAUAAGAUAACAUGGUUUGGAUCG